CCCCACUGAAAUCGGGAUAGGACUAAGACAUGCUAGUCGUGUGCCUCAGCCAAUACGAGGCACGGCAUACAGCUCAGUAGCACGUGGCUAACCUGCCCUUGGGAUAGGAAUACCCCCGGGAAACUGGGGAUAAUUCUCAAUAGGUGAAGAACACUGGAAUGUGUCUCCACCAGAAAAGAGCCUGCGUUAUGCUCGUAGGUUUCGCCCAAGGAUGGGGCCGCGACCGAUCAGGUUGUUGGUGAGGUAAUGGCUCACCAAGCCUUUUACCGGUGCGGGCCGUGGGAGCGGAAGCCCGGAGAUGGGUACUGAGACAAGGACCCAGGCCCUACGGGGCGCAGCAGUCGCGAAAACUUUGCAAUACACGCAAGUGUGACAGGGCUAUCCCGAGUGCCAUCCGCUGAGGAAGGCUUUUACCCAGUCUAGAAAGCUGGGAGAAUAAGGAGAGGGCAAGUCUGGUGUCAGCCGCCGCGGUAAUACCAGCUCUCCGAGUGGUGUGGAUGUUUAUUGGGCCUAAAGCAUCCGUAGCUGGCUAGGUUAGUCCCUUGUUAAAUCCACCGAAUUAAUCGUUGGAUCGCGGGGGAUACUGCUUGGCUAGGGGACGAGAGAGGCAGACGGUAUUUUUGGGGUAGGGGUGAAAUCCUAUAAUCCCAGGAAGACCACCAGCGGCGAAGGCUGUCUGCUAGAACCCGCCCGACGGUGAGGGAUGAAAGCUGGGGGAGCGAACCGGAUUAGAUACCCGGGUAGUCCCAGCUGUAAACGAUGCAGCUAGGUGUUUGGACGGCACGUGCCGUUCUAGUGCCGCAGGGAAGCUGUUAGCCUGCCGCCUGGGGAG
rnacentral:rRNA from 1 species